rnacentral:rRNA from 1 species
CCUACGGGCGGCUGCAGUGGGGAAUAUUGCACAAUGGGCGCAAGCCUGAUGCAGCCAUGCCGCGUGUGUGAAGAAGGCCUUCGGGUUGUAAAGCACUUUCAGCGGGGAGGAAGGCGGUGAGGUUGAUAACCUCAUCGAUUGACGUUACCCGCAGAAGAAGCACCGGCUAACUCCGUGCCAGCAGCCGCGGUAAUACGGAGGGUGCAAGCGUUAAUCGGGAUUACUGGGCGUAAAGCGCACGCAGGCGGUCUGUCAAGUCGGAUGUGAAAUCCCCGGGCUCAACCUGGGAACUGCAUUCGAAACUGGCAGGCUAGAGUCUUGUAGAGGGGGGUAGAAUUCCAGGUGUAGCGGUGAAAUGCGUAGAGAUCUGGAGGAAUACCGGUGGCGAAGGCGGCCCCCUGGACAAAGACUGACGCUCAGGUGCGAAAGCGUGGGGAGCAAACAGGAUUAGAUACCCCAGUAGUC